rfam:Physcomitrella patens subsp. patens PHYPAscaffold_295 genomic scaffold, whole genome shotgun sequence.
UAAGAGGCUUUUAUAAAAGCCAUAUUAAAAUACCACAAAUUAUAAU